rnacentral:rRNA from 1 species
GACGAACGCUGGCGGCGUGCUUAACACAUGCAAGUCGAACGAAGUGGCGAACGGGUGAGUAACGCGUAAUCAACCUGCCCUUCAGAGGGGGCCAACAGUUGGAAACGACUGCUAAUACCGCAUACUGAAGGAGGGGAUUGCGUCUGAUUAGCUAGUUGGAGGGGGAACGGCCCACCAAGGCGCUGAACAGUAGCCGGUCUGGUGGGAUGAACGGACACAUUCGGAAUGAGACACGGCCCAGACUCCUACGGGAGGCAGCGGUGGGGAAUCUUACGCAAUGGACGAAAGGCUGACGGAACAACGCCGCGGGAAUGAUGACGGCCGUCGGGUUGUAAAGCUUUGUUAGUCGGGACGCGGUACCGGAAUAGAAAGCCACGGCUAACUACGUGCCAGCAGCCGCGGUAAUAA